AGAGGGAUGCGCUCAUAAAAGUUAAAACAUUUAGAUACCGACAGCCCCGUCAACAUUCCCUGAUGGGUAUCUUUAUGAAAGAUAUAGAUUUCUAGCAGAGGGAAUUACGUAUAGGCUAUUUGUCGGCUUCUUGAGCUGUGUGUUGCCAAUGAGCACAUCGGCUUGAAUUAUGUUUUUAGAUUUUUAAUUUGCUCUCACGAUCGCAUCCCACUGCCAGGGUUGCAAAAGAAAUAAUAUGCUAAAGCUACGACAGUUUAUGGAAAGCACAAGUGCAGUUUUUCCUC